CCUACGGGAGGCAGCAGUGAGGAAUAUUGGUCAAUGGACGAGAGUCUGAACCAGCCAAGUAGCGUGAAGGAUGACUGCCCUAUGGGUUGUAAACUUCUUUUAUAUGGGAAUAAAACGUUCCACGUGUGGGAUUUUGUAUGUACCAUAUGAAUAAGGAUCGGCUAACUCCGUGCCAGCAGCCGCGGUAAUACGGAGGAUCCGAGCGUUAUCCGGAUUUAUUGGGGUUAAAGGGAGCGUAGGUGGAUUGUUAAGUCAGUUGUGAAAGUUUGCGGCUCAACCGUAAAAUUGCAGGUGAAACUGGCAGUCUUGAGUACAGUAGAGGUGGGCGGAAUUCGUGGUGUAGCGGUGAAAUGCUUAGAUAUCACGAAGAACUCCGAUUGCGAAGGCAGUUCACUGGACUGCAACUGACACUGAGGCUCGAAAGUGUGGGUAUCAAACAGGAUUAGAUACCCUGGUAGUC
rnacentral:rRNA from 1 species